CGUGAAAACACCGAUUCACGUACGAUCACCGAAGUUAAGCAACAUUUGAGCUAAUCAGUACCUAGAUAGGUGACCGCUUGGGAAUACUAGGGGCUGUAAG